UCGACUAGCAUGCAGUCGAGAGGGGUCAAGCCCUCGCGCGAACUGCUCAGUAACACGUGGAUAACCUGACCUAGGGUGGAGGAUAACCCCGGGAAACUGGGGAUAAUACUCCAUAGGCUACGGAAGCUGGAACGCCCUGUAACCCAAAGCUCCGGCGCCCUAGGAUGGGUCUGCGGCCGAUUAGGUUGUUGUUGGGGUAACGGCCCAACAAGCCGAUCAUCGGUACGGGUUGUGGGAGCAAGAGCCCGGAGAUGGAUUCUGAGACAUGAAUCCAGGCCCUACGGGCGCAGCGGGCGCGAACACUUUACAAUGCGGGAACCCGUGAUAAGGGGACCCCGAGUGCCUGUACACGCAGGCUGUUCAGGUGUUUAAAACGCAUCUGGAG
rnacentral:rRNA from 1 species